rnacentral:rRNA from 1 species
UACGUAGGGGGGCAAGCGUUGUCCGGAAUCAUUGGGCGUAAAGCGCGUGUAGGCGGUUCGGUAAGUCUGCUGUGAAAGUCCAGGGCUCAACCCUGGGAUGCCGGUGGAUACUGUCGAACUAGAGUACGGAAGAGGCGAGUGGAAUUCCCGGUGUAGCGGUGAAAUGCGCAGAUAUCGGGAGGAACACCAAUUGCGAAGGCAGCUCGCUGGGACGUCACUGACGCUGAGACGCGAAAGCGUGGGGAGCAAACAGG